GGCACAAGCUGUCUCCUGUAAGCCGACUGCACAGUUUGGAGUGGAUACCGCUGUGGGCUUGUGUCAUGUUCGGCUCUUGUUUUCAUUACAGAAUCGGAUGCAUGAAUCCCUCAAACUGUUUGACUCCAUCUGUAACAACAAGUGGUUUACAGACACGUCCAUCAUUCUUUUCCUGAAUAAGAAGGACAUCUUCCAGGAGAAGAUAAGAUGCUCUCCACUAACUAGCUGCUUCCCGGAAUACACAGGUACACACCUGCCUGCAGGAAUCUUUACAUACACACGGCAGUGAUGAGUGUAGCCUGAAGAUAAACCUGCAUUAUUAUCUGAUUAUUAGACAAACACACAUACCUUUAUGUGUACACAUCACUAGAAUUAUUUGCUGAAACACACAACAUGAGACCACCGCUGUGAGGGAAAUUAGUCCUAUGGUUAGGUCUACAUUAUUUAUAGCACGUAACAUAAUGUGGAAGAAUAUAUUCUCAUUAAAUUUCGUAUAUUAUAUAAUUAUUUCCCUCUGCUCAUGCCUCACUCCCAACCUCCCUGCUCCAGGUCCCAGCUCAUUCACCGAAGGCGUAGCUUACAUCCAGCACCAGUAUGAGAGCCGAUGCAAGUCCCCCAACAAGGAAAUCUACACCCACGUCACCUGUGCCACGGAUACCAACAACAUUCAGUUUGUGUUUGACGCUGUCACGGAUGUCAUCAUUGCCAACAACCUUCGUGGUUGUGGCCUAUACUGAGUUAUAAGCUGUGAGAGUUCACCAGCCUGAGUUGUGGGUUCUGAGGCCAUAGGAAGAAGACUUUAUACCCUUUGGCAAAACCAGACUUGCCUGCCGUCUCUGGUUAAACGCUGUAUGCCUGGACAUAUUUGCUUUAUUCCUCUAAAGUCUAGAAAGGGAGACAUAAAUGGCUAAAUGGACCUGUAUUUAUUGUUUCCCUGUAAUCUGUAUGGCUCAGAUAUUGUAUCCUAAUAUGUUCCCUAGGUAAACAUCAGUACAUUGUCAGUGAUUCACUGUUGGGUUACUUUCUAACUAGCCAUGCUGUUCUCAUGUAAUGUAUCCCACAAGGAAGACAAAGUGGUUAGUUGACAGUGUAUUACAACUCUGAAUCACCUGCCAAUAGGCUGUCUACAAUCUAGUUAUCAUACGUAACGCAUUGCCUGCCUUGUUCAAUGUUGAAGUGCCAAAUCUGUGUAUAUUCUGAAUGAAUACACCAAAACACUGUGAUCGGGACAUUCGGUUCAACUUAUGUAUUGCACUUGAGGUACAUAGGUGAAUAUAAAUCAUAUAUUAUUAUAAGUAGAAUUUUAUUUAUUUAAUUA